GAGACUGCGCUACUGUACUCCAGCCUGGCGACAGAGCAAGACUCCAUCUCAAAAAAACAGAGGAAAGGCUGGGCGCGGUAGCUCAUGCCCAUAAUCCCAGCACUUUGGGAGGCCAAGGCAGGUGGAUCACGAGGUCAGGAGUUCAAGACCAGCCUGGCCAAGAUGGUGAAUCCCCGUCCCUACUAAAAACAAAAAAAAUUAGCCAGGUUUGGUGGCAUGCACCUGUAAUCCCAGCUACUCGGGAGGCUGAGGCAGAGAAUUGCUUAAACUUAGGAGGUAGAGGUUGCAGUGAACUGAGGUCGCACCAUUGCACUCCAGCCUGGGCAACAGAGCAGACUCCGUCUCAAAAAAACCAAAAGAAAACCCACAAAAAUUAGCCAGGUGUGGUGGUGGCACAUGCCUGUAAUCCCAGCUACUCAGGAAGCUGAGGCAGGAGAAUUGCUUGAACCUGGGAGGUGGAGGUUGCAGUGAGCCAAGAUUGCACCACUGCACUCUAGUCUGGGUGACAGAACAAGGCCUUGUCUCAAAAAAAAAAAGAAAAAAAAAGUUAAAAAAAAAAAAAAAAAAGACAAAGGCAGAAGGACCCAGUCUCUGCCUCUCUAUGUCCCCAGUUACCCACCUCUCCCAUAUGAAGACACGGAGACUCAGAGAGAAAGAGUGACUCCCACAAGGUUGCACAGCUCCGAAAAGAUUCAUCCUGAUACUGAAUUCAGGUCUGUGGACUCCUGAUCCAGUGCUUUCCCCUCCCUGCACCAUCCACACUCAGGAUGUUCUUCUCUGCGGGAGAUCCCUGUCUUCCAUGGAGCCAGCACCCUCCAAUUUCACAAUCAGCUCUGGCUCACACCAGAGGGAGCCACGUGAAGCUGAUCAAGCCAGUCACCAAAAGGCUGGGGGAGAGAAUCUACACACGGUGCCACACACAAGGCCAUGAAUACACAAGUUCCUCAAAUGCUGGCUGUUUUCCUUCCAACGAGACAUACGUGGAGACGAAGAAAAAAAAAUCCCACAAAAACGUCCAGACCGUGGGAAAUCUGUUGGCAACUGUUGGAGGUGUGGACAGGGGCUCUUGCAAGAAAAGCUGGUCUGGGCGCUGGCAGAUCUGGAGCUGUAUAAGUGGGUAA
rnacentral:lncRNA from 1 species